rnacentral:rRNA from 1 species
AUGGACCUCCUCAUCGCGCAGAUCACCACCGAUCUCCGCUCCUCGGACGCUCUCCGGCAGUCGUCAGCGCUCUUGCAGGCCCUGCAGCAGUGCGCCGCCGGCCGCGACGUCUCCGCGCUAGCCCGCACCGCCGCCACCGAGAUCCUAGCGGCACCCUCCUCCGCCGUCUGCAAGCGCCUCGCGCUCGACCUUCUCCGUGCGCUGCCCCUGCCCCCCGAUCUCCUCGACCCGCUCCUGCUCUCCUCCCUACGCUCCGACCUCUCCUUCCCGGAUCCCGACGUCGCCGCCUCCUCCAUCGCCUCAUUCCCGUCGCUCCCCUCGCACCUACUCCCAACCCUCCUCUCCUCCGCGCACGCCGACAUCGCUGCCGCUCUCUCCUCGCCCGCCGAGUCACUCCGCCUUGCCGCCGUUACCUCCCUCUCCUCCCUCCUCCCGCGCGAUGACCUCGCGCUUAUGUGCUCCACCAACCCCUCGCUCAUGGGGCACGCCACCACCUGGUGGGGCCGUCUGACCGAGCUGGCCUUGGACUCUGCAGACGCAGUGGCAGCCGCAGCGUUCGAGGCACUUGCUCGGCUGUUCCAGGAGCUGGACGCGCGGCGUAUGAGCCGGCUUGCUGGAGACAAGCUCGUUGAUGGAGAGGGUGCGCUCGCUGUGCGUGCCCAGUGGGCAGCUGACGCCAUCGACUUCAUCUGGUCCCGGCGAAACAUGCUCAUUGCUAGAUCCAUGGUGAUGCCCGUCGAGAGCUUCCGGGUCACUGUGUACCCUCUUGUGCAUGCAGCAAAAAUGGUUGCAUCUGGCGCGGUGAACACGCUGCGGCAGAUUGCCAAACCAGGAGACACUACAAUAGCCGAUACCGUGGAGGCGAGUGCGGAGAAGUUGGUGGGGGUGUCUGACAUUGUCUCGCACUUGCUUCCUUUCCUUAGCUCGCUGGAACCGCCACUGGUGUUUGAGGUGGGGAUCAAUAUGCUCUCGCUCGCAGAUGCGCCCGGAGGCAAGCCGGAGUGGGCUUCAGCUGCCAUUAUUGCAAUCCUAACACUAUGGGACCGACAAGAGUUCUCAUCAAUGAGGGAGACGAUUGUCAGAGCUGUUGUGGCGAAUCUCCAUUUGCUGGAUCUUGGAAUGCAGGUGUCUCUGUUCAAAAGGCUGCUUCAGAUGCUGAAAAAUUUGAGAGCAGAAUCAGAUCGAAUGCAUGCAUUGGCAUGCAUUUGCCGAACUGCUCUUUGUGUUGAUCUUUUUGCAAAGGAGAGCGUUCGAAGAGGUCAGAAGCCCGUUCCAGGAACAGAUGUGAUAUCUCUUUUUGAGGAUGCAAGGGUGAAGGAUGAUCUAAACAGCAUAACAAGCAAAAGCUUGUUCAGAGAAGAGUUAGUUGCCUCACUGGUUGAAAGUUGUUUCCAGCUAUCUCUUCCACUACCUGAGCAGAAGAAUUCUGGGACAGAGAGCAGAGUUAUAGGGGCAUUAGCCUAUGGUACUGGUUACGGUGCGUUGAAUUGGACAGAACCUGCUUUGGAUGUGGUGGAAGUUUGCAGGCCUUGUGUUCUCUGGGACUGUGACGGGCGUACCUAUGCAAUUGAUUGCUAUCUGAAGUUGCUUGUACGGCUUUGUCAUAUAUAUGAUACCAGAGGCGGCGUGAAGACAAUUAAGACUGGUGCAUCUCAAGAUCAGAUUCUAAAUGAGACUAGACUUCGAAAUUUGCAGCUACAGCUUAUUAGGGAUCUUCGUGAGGUUCAUACCUCAAGAAUAUCAUCACGGCUGAUAUGGGCAAUUUCUGAACACUUUGAUCUUGAAGGUCUUGAUCCUCUUUUAGCUGACGACCCAGAGGAUCCUCUGAAUAUUAUCAUAUCUAACAUGCAUAAGACUUUAUUCAACACCGAUUCCUCUGCCACUACAUCAAAUAGGAUACAAGAUGUGCAGGCUGUCCUCAUAUGCGCUCAGCGUUUGGGAACCAGAAAUGCAAGAGCCGGCCAGCUCCUCAGUAAAGAAUUGGAGGAGUUCAGGUCAAGUACUUCAGCUGAUUCUGUCACCAAGCAUCAGUCACGUUAUGUCUUGCAGAUAAUAAAGUAUGUGACGAAUCAUCCAGAUAACAGGUGGGUUGGUGUAGGCGAUGCUACAGGAGAUUACCCUUUUAGCCACCACAAACUUACAGUUCAGUUUUCUGAGGCUGCUGCUGCACAAGAUAGGAAAUUGGAGGGAUUAGUUCAUAAGGCCAUUCAGGAGCUUUGGAGGCCCAAUCCCAGCCAGUUAACUCUCCUACAGACUAAGGGUAUCGGUGCUUUGCACAAAGAUCUUCCAAAAGCAUGCACUCUGACUGGCAGCAGCGAUCCAUGUUACAUCGAAGCAUAUCAUUUGGCGGAUCCAACUGAUGGCAGAAUCACCCUACAUUUAAAGAUUUUGAAUUUGACUGAGCUGGAACUCAACAGGGUGGAUAUCCGAGUUGGGCUCUCUGGAGCAUUGUAUUAUAUGGAUGGAUUUUCCCGCACUGUUCGCCACCUGCGUAAUCUUGUUUCCCAGGAUCCAGUCCAAAGUAGUGUCACUGUGGGAGUUUCACAUUUUGAGAGAUGCUCUCUCUGGGUUCAAGUCCUGUAUUACCCAUUCUACGGAAGUGGAGGAUCGGCAGACUAUGAAGGAGAUUAUGCAGAAGAGGACUCACAAAUGACGAGGCAGAAGCGCGCGCUCCGGCCAGAGCUUGGGGAGCCGGUUGUUUUACGGUGUCAGCCCUACAAGAUCCCUCUCGCUGAACUUCUCUUGCCAUAUGAAUGCUCUCCAGUUGAGUAUUUUCGUCUAUGGCCAAGCUUGCCAGCCAUGGUUGAGUGCACUGGCACAUACACAUAUGAAGGUAGUGGUUUCAAGGCCACUGCAGCUCAGCAGUAUGAUAGCUCUCCUUUCCUCAGUGGGUUGAAGUCAAUUUAUUCCAAGCCCUUCCAUCAAGUCUGCUCUCAUUUCAUCCGAACAGUUGCUGGGUUCCAGUUGUGUUACGCUGCAAAGACAUGGUUUGGUGGGUUUGUGGGCAUGAUGAUCUUCGGUGCAAGUGAGGUCAGCCGAAAUGUUGAUCUGGGUGACGAGACAACCACGAUGAUAUGCAAGUUUGUCGUGCGUGCAUCUGAUGAAUCGAUCACAAGAGAGAUCGAGUCGGACCUCCAGGGCUGGCUGGAUGACAUCACGGACGGCGCUGUUGAAUACAUGCCCGAAGAAGAGGUGAAGAGCACAGCUGCGGAGCGGCUGAAGAUAUCCAUGGAGAGGAUAGCGCUACUCAAGGCAGCCAAACCUAAGAUGCCGCCCGCGAAAACCGAGCAAGAAGAGGAAGAGGAGAGGAAGCAGAGCGAGGAGUUGGACGGGUUUGGGAACCCCAAGGGCCCCUCGACGCUCUCCAAGCUCACGGCGGAGGAAGCCGAGCACCGUGCGCUCCAAGCAGCCGUGCUCCAGGAGUGGCACCAGCUCUGCAAGGAGAAAGCCAUGAAGGCACAGUGA